rnacentral:tRNA from 1 species
GGGCGAUUAGCUCAGCUGGUUAGAGCGCUGUCUUCACAUGGCAGAAGUCGGGGGUUCAAGUCCCUCAUCGCCCA